AUUCUUGAGACAUCUUUGGGGCAGAAAGGUGGUUUUAUUCAGGCAUGGGGACAGGACCCGGGGGCAGGAAGAGAGAGCGGUUCGUGUACUUUGGAGCUGGGGGAGGCGUCUUCAGGAUGAUGCUGGUCUUGUGUCCGUUCUGCGGGAAGCCCCUGCGGAGCCGGAGCUGGUGCAAGUGCGGGAGCGGUGCGGGAGCCCUGUGGGUGCCGGAGCAGGUGGGACACGUGUGAUAUUGCUGGACGCUCCCAGCUACCCGAAAACAGGCCAAGACAAAAAACAAAUGGUUAAACGGAUGAGUCCCCACCAGUCAACCAGAAGGCAAUCCUGUCAUAGCCUCAAGCCCAGGAACCCCGACCUGCCACUCAAUGCUCUGCUAGAGGGAGAAACACCCUCCAGGGGACCGGAGCCAGGCCUCCAGGAAGUCCCUAGCACGUGAGUCUCUUUGGAAACUCCCCCUGGACUUUCUCUCCGCCGACUCCAUCAAACUCCACACUUACAGCGCAGCUCUGCCUGCCCACGGGUCCUGUCCCCACACUUUAAUAAGAUCACCUUUUUG